rnacentral:tRNA from 1 species
GACUUUGUAGCUUAGUGGUAAAGCAGGCACCUAGAGUUAGCCAUUUCCCGGGUUUGAGUUCCGGUGGAGUCA